UACAUACCAUCGAUACAUAAUUUUCAUCACAUUUUCUUUUAUAGUUGUACAUGCAGUAAAUCUUAGACCUUGAAUUGCCAACAUUUUGAUUGGCAAGCCAAAGGCUCAGUGGUUUAGACCACAGCGCCACCCACAUCCGUUAGCUGAGGAUUAGGUUCCAUAUAUUCCUUGCAAAGUGUUCCACAUUCAGUUCCAAGCACCUUGCGCAUGAAAGCACCAAGCCUGAGAAUGAAAUCUCAAAUGAAACCUCAAAGCAGAGAAGAUUAACUCAUUGGCCUUUGGAUGUUUCUGAUCUGGAGAUCCCAUCACCCAUGAUCUUUAGCCACAAAUAACAGCGACUCCAAGGAGCGCAGGACAGAAGAGUGAAGCAGCUUCAGAAACAGGGUUGGGAAGGGGGAAAGGGGGCUUAGUCAUCUUCAAGGGUGGAAAGGAGAAAGGAAAGGACAGGUUGGCCAAUUAUUAUGGGGUGCAGAGUGGAACAUGGCAGGUGGAGCAAGCAGAGAAGCAGAGCCCCUCAUGUUUGAAAAUAUUUUUGUAAGUUGCUUUGAGUCUAGUUAGAAAAAGGUGUUUGCGAAAAAGGAUGAUGAUGAUGAUUGCAAGAAUGAGAAAAAGGACAAGAGAGCAUGUGAAGAUUGCCUUUCCUUGAAGUAAGCAAAGAGUCCAUCAUUUCACCUUUGAAAUCUCCUUGCCCUGCAUGUCCCACUCAACCUCUUCAAUCGGUGGACUUGAAUCUUUCUUUUUCUUUUUGGAAGAACUGUUUGAAGCUAUUACUACUCCCAGUGCUAUUUCAUGGGGGGAUGCAGGGGUAACGCAUACCCCUAAACAUUCUUUGAAUCUAAGUUUGGCCAGAUUAAGAAUAAUCAUUGUGGGAGGUGAGCAUGUGAAAAGUCCCCUUCCUUCACGUAACCGCAAGGGUCCAGCAAUGUGGUGGGCACAGGUGAGGGGUGAGUUAUUUACCUGAGGGAUACAUCCCCCUAGCACUGCCUAUGUAGGGCAUUGCAUCCUCCUCAUAAAUGUUUCAUUUGAUUUAAGCUAUCUCCCUCUGAAACAUGAAUACAGAACAUCCUGAAUGUUUGUGAUCUUGUGUGGAAACUGCUAUUACUGACAGAAUGCAGGAAUGCCUUUGCAGAGGCACGUGAUUUUGGCAACAUUCUUGUCCACGUCAGCCUAAGUCACAACGUCCCCCAAAAAUUUCAUUUAUGCAAUCUGCUUCUACCUCCCAGCCCUCUCUUGGCAAGCUUUGGGGCUCCAUUUGGCUUAAAAGCUGGCUUUGCCUGGCUUUGUCACCACAAUUCAUCCUGAGCCAUGAAGAUCCUUCACCUGUGCUUGGCAGUUCUCUCUUUGCUGCUCCUGGCUUCCCCAGGAUCUGCACAGGACCAGGAACCUCAGAAUGCUAGGCAAUGCUAUAAGGCCAAUGGUGUUUGCCUCCCUCUAUAUUGUCCCAAUAAUUCUAAAAAGAUUGGAAGGUGUACUCAUCGUCAUUUCUGUUGCAAAUGACGGGAGGAGUGAUAGAUGCCUUUGAAAAGUGGAAGAUGCUCCCUCUCUUUGAGAGCCACUGGAUCCCGCUUGAUCCCCAGCUAGGGACUUCUUCUCCAAAGCAUCCAGAUUGAAAAAGCAACAUUUUCAAGGCUUACCUGAGCUUGUGCCUUGCAAUAAAAGC